GACGAACGCUGGCGGCGUGCUUAACACAUGCAAGUCGAACGGAAAGGCCCCUUUGGGGGUACUCGAGUGGCGAACGGGUGAGUAACACGUGAGUAACCUGCCCUUGACUUCGGGAUAACUUCAGGAAACUGGGGCUAAUACCGGAUAGGAAUCCUUGCUGCAUGGUGGGGGUUGGAAAGCUUCGGCGGUUUUGGAUGGACUCACGGCUUAUCAGCUUGUUGGUGGGGUAGUGGCUUACCAAGGCUUUGACAGGUAGCCGGCCUGAGAGGGCGACCGGCCACAUUGGGACUGAGAUACGGCCCAGACUCCUACGGGAGGCAGCAGUGGGGAAUAUUGCACAAUGGGCGGAAGCCUGAUGCAGCAACGCCGCGUGCGGGAUGACGGCCUUCGGGUUGUAAACCGCUUUCAGCAGGGGCGAAGCUUGUGGUGACGGUACCUGCAGAAGAAGCACCGGCUAACUACGUG
rnacentral:rRNA from 1 species